rnacentral:rRNA from 1 species
CGUGUAGGCGGUCGGUCAAGUCCGAUGUGAAAGCCCGGGGCUCAGCCUCGGAAGUGCAUCGGAAACUAGCCGGCUGGAGCGCGAUAGAGGAGGGUAGAAUUCCUGGUGUAGCGGUGAAAUGCGUAGAUAUCAGGAGGAAUACCGGCGGCGAAGGCGGCCCUCUGGAUCGUUGCUGACGCUGAGACGCGAAAGCGUGGGGAGCAAACAGGAUUAGAUACCCUGGUAGUCCACGCGGUAAACGAUGGGUACUAGGUGUUCGGGGUAUUGACCCCCUGAGUGCCGCAGCUAACGCAUUAAGUACCCCGCCUGGGGACUACGGCCGCAAGGUUAAAA